rnacentral:rRNA from 1 species
CAGUAGCCGCGGUAAAACGUAGGUGGCAAGCGUUGUCCGGAAUUAUUGGGCGUAAAGGGCUCGCAGGCGGUUGCUUAAGUCUGAUGUGAAAGCCCCCGGCUCAACCGGGGAGGGUCAUUGGAAACUGGGAAACUUGAGUGCAGAAGAGGAGAGUGGAAUUCCACGUGUAGCGGUGAAAUGCGUAGAGAUGUGGGGGAACACCAGUGGCGAAGGCGACUCUCUGGUCUGUAACUGACGCUGAGGAGCGAAAGCGUGGGGAGCGAACAGGAUUAGAUACCCGAGUAGUCCCUGUCUCUUAUAC